GAUGAAGAACGUAGCGAAAUGCGAUACUUGGUGUGAAUUGCAGAAUCCCGUGAACCAUCGAGUCUUUGAACGCAAGUUGCGCCCGAAGCCAUUAGGCCGAGGGCACGCCUGCCUGGGUGUCACACGUCGUUGCCCCCCCAUCUACUCCGUCGGGAUUGCGGGGGGCGGAUGAUGGCCUCCCGUGCGCCUCGUCGCGCGGUUGGCAUAAAUGCCAAGUCCUCGGCGACGCACGCCACGACAAUCGGUGGUUGCGAAACCUCGGUGGCCCGUCGUGUGCGGUCGUCGCGCAUCGAGGGCUCGAAAAAAUUGCCGGGCUCCGGCUCGGCUUUCAACGCGACCCCAGGUCAGGCGGGAUUACCCGCUGAAUUUAAGCAUAUCAAUAAGCGGAGGA
rnacentral:misc_RNA from 1 species